UUUAUGGAACAGUUUCCAAUU
ensembl:piRNA 21ur-239 ncRNA